GUUAGAAUUACCAAUUAGAUAUGAUUAUAACUUACCCUGGCUAACACUGCACUACUGUUGGAAAUCUGAAUCCCAUUAAAAUCUAAUUAGCAUAUAUUAAGUCGAAGGCGGUUUUACUGCAGUGGGCCAGCAGGUUUGAGCUGCGACAGGCCGGGCACGUGGACUCACUGCCCACUUCAGCAUGCUGGCCAAUGGCCCACAGUGCCCAGGUGGGUGCCAGGCAGCCUAUGGGCAGCUUUUCUCCUCCUAAGCUGAGACCAGACGGCCCAUGCUCACAGAAAGGGGCAGCUCCAGACGUGGACAUGAUGUUCGAGGUUCCGCCUUUAGAUGAGUGGCCAGCAUCCACGGAAAGCCUUCUUUGCCAUGUGGCUAAGCCAACCAAGGCGCUCUGGGGUCAGUGCUCUGGGCUAAGAGGAUGAGGGUGGUUUUGGCAACCCCUGGGAGCCAGUCAGCUUGGUGGCUGAAUGCUAGCAUCACGGAAUAUACCCUUCCCUGGGCUUACGGGUAUGGGGGUGCUUCUGCAAGGGUGUAACUGCUAUAUCUUCAUCUCUGGAAAAGCGCCUGGUAUAAUAAUAGCAAACAGUUGCUUAGCACGUACAAUGGGCUAAGGUUUUAUUUUCAUAUUCUCAACCUCGCAAAAAUUCCAAGGAAAAAGUACUAGGAUUAGGCCCAUUUUAUGCACGUUGAACCUGAGGCUUAAAGAGGUUAAGGAACUUGCUCCCGGUCUACAACCAAGGAGUAGAACACACUAGUUUGCUAGGGCCUCCAUAACAAAGUACCAUACACUGCGGGGUGUAAACAACAGUGUGUAUUUUCUCAGAGCUCUGGAGGCUGGAAGUCCAAGACCAGGGAUUCAGCAGGGUGGGUUCCUUUGGAGGCCCCUGUCCUUGGCUUAUGGAUGCCGUCUUCAUCCUGUGUCCUCCUGUGGCCUUCCCUCUGCAAGUGUCUGAGUCUUAAUCCCCUCUCUCAUGAGAACACCAGGUACGUUGGUGUAAGGCUCACCCUGGUGACCUCAUUUUACUGAAUUACCUCUGUAAAGACCCUUUCUCCAAACAGCC
rnacentral:lncRNA from 1 species